UUAUUGGUAGCAUAUAAGGAUAGCACGGUUUCAAUAACUGCUAUUAAAAGUAAAUUUAGAAAUUUUGGUACUUUGUAAUAGCUUUUGAAAAAUGCUAUGAUAAAAAAUCACUAAAUCAAAAGUUAAAAUAACUUAUUCCAUCGAUAUAUGCAAAAAAUUUCCUCUCCCUUUUAACACUUUUUUUGCAUAUAUCGAUGGAAUUUUUCUUCCCUUAAGCAUCGUGACCUAAAAUUUCUUUUUCCCCCAAAUUCUAAUUAGGGCAAUUUUUCGAGAUAAUCGGGAGAUGAGAUCUCCAUUGUCCUGACCUGAGAGACUCGCAAUAUUCUUUCAGAAGAGGAAGACUCAUGAGUAACGAAGAAUUGGAAGAGGCGGAUCUGGAUGAGACGACGGUCUGGAACUCCUAUGCAAAAAUUGGUUCAACGAAGAAGUGGAAGAGGCAGAUCUGGAUGAAGACGACGGUCCGUCCUCCUGCAAUCUCGCCGGUCUCCAUCGUCUUCUGUUAUGGUUUUUCAACAGGAUCCUCCGUCAUCGUAACACCAGCCAUAGACGUAAUCUUCUUCUUCUCUCUGGAUUUCAAUUAAUUAAAUCAUAUGGGUUUCAUAAAGUCUUGAUCAUUGCUUUGUAAAGUUUCUUUAAUGUGUUACAUGGAGAAGCAGUCACAUCAAUUGCAGAGAGACUAUCGAUGUCUUGUGUGAAAAUUGUUGUGUCUGAAUACAAACAGAUGUUCCUUGGUGAAUUGAUGUGAAUUUAGUGGUGAGGACUGCAGAGAAUCUAACCGUGGUGACAGUUGAGUUCAAGGAGACGAUGUAAGUAACUUACCUAUCUCCUGCUACUUACAUUGUUUAACUUUGCUAGGGCGGAUAAUGAGCAAGCCAUCUUCCUCUUGAAAGCUUUUCUUGUAUGAACUACACAUUGGUGAUUAUAAUGUCGAAGUUAUGGCUGAUACAAGUUUUGUCAAAAGUUGGAAUCCAAGAAGAUAAAGACAUACACAGAGCUGCAAUGUGAGUUUAUCCAUUUUUAAUGUUAUACAG